AUGAGCUCUCAUCGUGUGAAGUGGAAUGAGGACAAUCUGUAUGAGAUUGAAUCAAACAAGCCAGUGCGGCAGAAGAUAGCCGAGCCCAAGACACCGUAUCACCCUAUGAUGGAUGAUGAUGGGUCACUAUCACCAACACGCCCUUUCGACAAGUGUCUAGAUGCGACUGUUAGUGCAGAAGAUAUAUUAACUGCUUUAAAUGGUGUGGCCUCUUCAAGUAAAAAUGAUUCAAAGGAUGAUGAGUGGGCAUCCUCAGAUGAUGACGCAGAUGCCAUAGAACAUGAUGGUGACUCAGAAGCUGACAAAUCAUCAGUGAGUUUCAAGGAGCACCACCGCAAUCACUACCAUGAAUUCCGCAAGGUCAAGGAACUGACGCGCACUGGAUCCCUGGUUGAAGAUGGGGGCCGUGCGAAUGAGCGAACUGCAAACAACGUCGAAGACAAAACCGCACGAGAGAAGGCAACAGGCGACAAGAGUGAAUCGUCAACAUCACCUCAAGUAUGA
rnacentral:rRNA from 1 species